GCUCUGCAGCGAGCGUGGGGUUCGCACGGUGAAACCCUAGCCACCAAUCGCUCGCGUCUUUGACCCACCAAUCGCUCCCUUCUUGAGCUCCGCUUCCCGUUCCCCAAUUCUCUCCGCCGCCACUGCGCUGCCUCGUCCUCCCCUGACCUCGGAGCCCAGCGUAUGGUCACCGUCGCCGCUUGCGUAGUUCUUCCCGCAGCCUCCUGCAGGACGAUGCCUCCCCAUCCUCCAUCAGCCACCGCUGUGGGCUGUGGUUCUGGACCGGUCACAGGUCGCUGCUCAGGAGCAGAGGAGGACGGCGGGGAGGGAGAAGGAGCACAGGAGGACGGCACUGGGGGAAGGAGCAGCGAGGCCGGAGGCCGAGAUGGCGCUCACGUCAUGUGUCGGACGCUGCUCGUCGGCCCUCGUUGUCGUCCUCAAUCUAGCAUGAUGUGUGAAGGUCUGAGACAAAAAAGAAGAGGAAGAAUUUUGACGAAGAGUUGGGUCAUGGGGAACAAGGUCAUCAGAAUAUACAUAACUGUUGCCGAAGCCCUCUUGCUAAAGGUAUAAUACUCCCCCCCUUAGCAAAGGGUGAAUUCUCUGGUUUUGAUUGGCCGGGAUAAACUCCAUGAGUCUUGAGGAUUUUCGGAAUGUUGGAAUCAGUGGUGUUUUGUUUUUGAUGAUAUUAUCCGAUGGAGGUGACAGGGAGAGAAGAUGCUAGCUCAAUGGUGCUGGCCGUGAAGGAUUUUGGCGCAUCCAAGGAUAUAACCAACAUAAACACAAUGCUUACAAGGAGAUAUCGACUCAUUUGAUUGCUAUAUUGGCUUUGGUCACCCUUGUGGGGCUCCUUAUCUUUGAAGCAAGGUUCGGAUGCUCUUUGGACGCAGGAAGACGAACAUGAUAGAAAAAGAAAGGGAUCAACCUUGCCAUGACCCCAUAUUUCUGUAGGCUAAUAUCCCUUAUUUGCACUAUCCUACACCGAAUACUUAUAGGGUUAUGUGCCUUUGCCAUGCAGCACAUGUCAAUGGCAGUUCAGGAAGAGAUGACAUCACAAGUGAGCUCAAUUGAUAAGCCCACUAGUAGAAAAAUGUGGUUUGAGCCUGCUCCAACCCCUCCUCUGAUGUGGUGUGGUGGGAGGAGGAAGAAGAGCAUGCAUGCUCUCUUUCUACAUCCAGCAUCCACACGGCUAGAUCGACGGGUCUAAACUAUGGGUGAGCUCCUCCACUACCUGAUAAAUUCCUUUUCUGCUCUAUCUUUUUUCCUUCCAAUUCAUGUAAAUUGAAACUUUGAAAUCAACCAGUAUCUAAUGCCUAUAAUCCAUGGAAAUAAGUGGUCUUCAAAUGUGAAACUCAAGCCGGCAAUUGGAUACCAAUUUGCCUACUUAUUUAUACCUUCAAAUAUUGGUCAAAGACUAAUUAAGUCACUGUUUCUUAAUUUCUCUAUUCCUUAUUUAUACCUCCAAACAGUACAGAAUGUGAGGAGUUGACCUAUAAAUGUUUGCUUAUGAUUAAUGGAUCACCAAAAAUAUGGAGGAUUUAUUUAUUUGCAUUUUCAUGUUUCUCCAACUGUAUGUACCAUUGCGGAGAAGAGGCAAAGUAAUAGACAUUUUAAUUCUGAUUUAUAUAGAUAAUUGGUUAAUUUGUGGGUACCAUUCUAUCUCAGAUGUAGUACAUUGUGUGUAUGAAUCAUGGUGAAUGUCAAGCCUACUUAGGUCAUACCCAAGUAAGGUCAGUAUAGAUGUAUAGUGCUUAUAAAAUGUGGUGCUCUAAUAUAACUUUGUUCCUCAGUUAGGAAUUAUGUUUUUCUAUAGUUAAAAAUGCAUGUGUGUUGCUGUGAUGUAUAUAAGUGACAGGGAACAAAAAAGAAUGGAAGAAGGCCCUUUUGUUUCUGUUUGAUAAUUACUCAUCCAUCCUGAUGCUUGAGCAUUUUCUAUCCUCCCCUGUUUUAUUCUUUUGGUGCUACUUGGAUGUUUCUAAGGUCUGUUUUUUUGUUUUAUUUCAGAAUACAGAAAGAAUAAGUUACUAGCAUUGUGCAAGUAAACCUACUGCGAUUGUGACUGCAAAAAAAAAUCAUCACAUGCUGUGAGCUUAAAUAAAAGGAGCUAAACUGUUGUGUCAUGUUCAGAAUUGAUACUAGAAAAAAUAAUCUAAACUGCACAUUCUGAAACUAUCUAGACUCCUGCCUUUGGGGAAUUAGGUUGCUAAGCAUUACUUUGUAAAUAAAUGACAUGCUAACUUGUUGGUUCAGUUUAGAGCUAUUGGCAGGGGCUUGCUGUAGGGGGGAUAUCAUUGUGGCAGUUGAAAACCAAAGCCUUUAUUCAUGAGUGUAUGAUCUGGACUUCACUUUUCUGAAAGGAUCCGCGGCACAGUAGGAGAGGUGACGCCGGCCGGCAGCGCCUCACCGCCAGCUAUUGUUUGGCGCCGGCAAGGAGAAGGGCGCUUAGGAUCUGCUUCGCUGUGCAUGGCUGUUGAAGUUCAGCAUCGCCAUGAUGUGUAUGGUUUCUCUAUUUUCCUCAUAUUGCCCUAUUCCCAAUUUUACAAACUGCUAUGUGACGCACAAUGGCCACGCCACGCACUGGUGAGAUUCAAGGUGCAGUCGAGCAAGAGUCAGUUCGAGGUGAGGUGUCUCACGUCGAUCUCCUGCUGCUCACCAGCAAGGCUCGCUGACGAGCGGCCAGAUCCACACGAGUUUCACUGUUUAUGGAGGUGACAAUGCUAGAUAUAUACAUCUGUAUCAUGGCACUUCUCCAGCAAACAAAAGCUUGGUAGCCAUCUACUUUCAGAGAGUUUGAAAACGUACUAUCACGCUAACUCACUUAUCCAGAUUAAUGGUAAGUGUGUGUUUUCUUGUAUACCAAUCUACAGAACUACAAUUGAGAUCUCUACCUCCUAUAUUUCCCUUUUGUCAUUUUUUCUGGCUUUUAUGCUACUACUCAAAAUGUUUGACUAUUCAAUUAUAAACGUCAUGCAGCAGUGCUUACUUUCUUACUCCCUUUAGACAUGAUUUCCCUGUCCAAACAUUCAGCUGAACCGACACUAGCAAUAUUGAUCAGCUGAACUUGCAGAAGGGGAGAGGUACUAAAGGAACAUCUUACGUAUUUUUGGUCUCAUAUUCUUUGAGUACAUAACUAUCCAUUUAUUAAAAACUAUAUUUGAUGGACAAAUUGAACAGCACAAUUUAAGGAUGAUAAAAAUAAUAAUUUUAACAAGUGGAAGUAAUGUAUGGUACCGUGUAAAAAUGAAAGGUAUAGUUUUCCCACUCCUCCAAGAUGAGUUCAGUGCCUGUGUUUAAACCAUGGAUGUAGAGAUGGUCAGGUCAAAUGAAAUGUAUGAAUACUACUACAAUUGUUGAACAUUUGAUGAAAUCAGAAGUUAAGUAGAUUACAUAUAUGUAAGUUAGUCUUGUGGCUGAUGCUUUCACCAUGAUAAAUACAACCCCGAACGCAUAUGCCAACCAAUGUUUAAGCGACUCAAAGACUAUAACUAAUGCUAAAUAUCGAUGCCUGCUACUUAGGGGCACUAUCUGGCAUGGUUCAAAAGAGAGGUAAUUGUACCUGAAGCAGUGGACACAACCAUUCCUUGCAUUUGUAAGAGUUGUGCAGUAGUAUAAUAACCGUCUUUCUUUGAGGAGCAGUGUCGUUAAGUUUCAGUAGAAGUACAGGUACACGUUCCUGUUCAGCUGACUAAUGAAAAAAAGUGAUAACAGAUUCUGUUAUUCAGGGAGCAAGAGCCAAAAUUUCUUCAACUAGCUUCUCCUAAGUUGCCCACCUCUUUCCUCCGGCAUGACUCAAUGGCUUGGAAAGAGCAGCAGAAUCAACACAAUCACCUUGAUCUGGAAGGUGGAAUUUGUUUGCUCAGAUCGAAGGAGGAUCCUGGCCUCUCCGAGCCCCGGAGGCCCGUUGCCUUGGUAAAAUAGCUCCUUUACCAGACUCCCUUGCUCCAUGGCCAGAGGCACCGGGACUGCGUGACGACGAGCAGAUUCGAAGCAAGCCAUUAUUCAACUCGGGAUGCAAACUCGCGGCGCGAGGGAGAGAAAGUGAGGGGGAUGUGGUUGGCUGACCUCGGUGUUUCCGGCGGACCUACUGGUACUUCGACCAGAUGUAUCCAGCGGCAGCAGUUGGGGCUCCGGUGGAGUCGGGGCGGCGGCAGGUGACUAGACCGCGCGUGGUGGAGAACUGGAGGAGAGGGAACCGAGCCCCACACUCACGAGCCGUUUCUUGGAGCGACUGCUCACAUGCGGCACGCGGCCGGCAGCCGGCAGCGGAGGUACACGCGUGGCUGAAGCGCUAUGGGGGCCACAAGGCAGGCGGUUCCUUUUUUAUUGAUUUGUCAUGCGUGCAUGCCUUCCUGAUUGCUUGUUGUUGCCGACACAUUAAGUGAUCACAUGUCUGUAAUCCAUUGUCGUUCUUUCUGAGAGACAGUGGGAAUACAAAUACUGAGAUUUGCUUCCCAUUUUCCUUUAA